ensembl:lincRNA
ACCGCGUGGAACUCGGGCUCCGUGUCGGGCGUGAGCACGUGGCGCUCGCCCGGGUCUCGCGUGAGGUCGAAGAGCAGGGGGGGAUCGUGCGUGGAGACGUCUUCCCCGGAGCACGGGCACACCUGUCUCCCGUAGCAGGCGCCCGCCCCCUCGGGCUGGAAGACGGGCGUCAUGUAGUGGACUUUCCACACUCUUCGUCCUGGCGGGUGGGGCGCAGGAGAGCGGCGUUAGGCGGAGAAACCAAAAACACCGAAGCAGCGCGAGUGACCGUCCACGCAGGAGCGGACAGAUGCCUGGUCCGGCCGUGCCACGGAAUAUCACACAGCCAGGACAAAGAAAGGACGCCUGCUACUUGCUGUGUCGUGUAGGGAACAUGAGGGCACGGUGCUCGGACACCGGAGGACACGGAGUGUGUGACACGUCACCCGCGUACAAGAUCAGGCAGAGGGGCUGAGACGGCAGGGUGCGGGGGCAGGGCUCUGUGUCCGUAACGCGGGGGUCACAGAAGCGCACGGACGGCUGCUUAUGGAAAAGGGAAGCCAGAGGGGCAGGGGCCGGGCUGCCAUGGUGCGCAGGGCGCAGGGCGCUUGGCCGAUCCCCAGCCUCGCCCGGCCCCGCGAGGAUCCGCGCGUCCUGAGAAAGCCGGGGAGAAAGGCGGAGCAGACAGGAAACGCACACCCGAACCCAGCUUACCCCAAGCGGUCCGGACGCGGCAUUUCCAGCACUUUCUGCUGCCUGGAAGAGAAAAUCGUGUUCAGAAGGCCACGGGGACCAGAAAGCGAACUCGUUCUGUAGGGGAAGAGGCGGGAUGCAACCGCACGGGCGCGCCCUCCGUCUCCGGUCUCCCCCGCUCUCUCCCACCCUCCUGGAGAGGACACGACACGGCCGCUCAGGUUUUGAUGGGGGACCCGGGCUGCCGACCCAGCCCCUCGGCGGCUGAGGGACAAACACGGCCACGGACCACGUGGACACGGCCUCUCCGUGAUGUCCACUUCGAUGAAAGCCCACGCGUGCGGGCAGGGCCGGAGAUUUCCGGUGCCUGCUCCAGCCGGUGGGAGCAUGAAAGACAGACAGAGCGAAGGGAGAAGGGAAGGAUUUGGAAGAGACCUCAAAGGCUCGUGAUGUGUGAAGUGCCGACCGCAGGUGCACGGACACUUGUGCCUUCCUCGCGGUGAGACCCACACGGGAAGUUUGUUGGCCUUCACAGCGCUCCUCUUCCCGCCGAGGGCGCUACUGUUAGGGGUGGAUCUAGAGGCCCCCCGAAGCCGCGUGGGGUCCCGGGCGGGAGCUUUGGAAGGAGUUUCUGUCCUCCGUGCCGGGAGCAGCCCCCCUUCCACGUCCGUGCGCCGUCUGCCCACCGCGCAGCGAGCUGACCGGCAGCAGGCGACCACACCUCAUGGAGGCGCCACGACGAAACCUCUCCUGUGACUCUCGUCUCAAAAAGAAAGGUCAGCAUCGAGAAAUCAAAGGAUAAGGCCUGCUGGAGAGGCCGCGGGGAAGAAGGAGCCCUCCUGCCUGUUGGUGGGAGGUGAAGUAGGACGACUGAAAGAAUUAAACGCAUCAUAUUACAGUGAUCUCUGCACACCCAGCUUUGUAGUCACAGAAGUCAUAAGAGCUGACUCUGCGUCCACCAGCAGGCGGGUGCAUGAAGAAAAGCUGGCUUUGCACACAGUGGAGUACUACUCUGCCAUCAACAAGGAUGAGCACCAGCCACCUGUAGGUAAACGGAUGCUCACUGAGGCCACAAUGCCGAGUGAAAUAAAUAAUGCUACUGCUACUGCUGUCCCCGCCACUAUUCCCGCAAAUGCAAACGGUGCGACCGAUGCUGCCGCCUCCUUUCCCCGACUGUUUCGUCUUCUGUCAGAACCGCGACUGCUUUGGCUGCAGAUUUCCAAAGGACAAGAGAGACCACGUGGUAACGAGGAGGGUUUUAUUAGGUCUGCAGCAGACCCAGCCAAAUCGGAGUCCAAAGUGCUGGGCUGUCGCCCAAGGUAAAGUUAUGAUUUUUAUGAUUCAGUCGGAGGGGGUAGGCCCGUCUUUCUCGUGGUGUGGUGAGCGAGUUUACUGGAACGGGGCAAGACAGACGCUUUACUAAUUUAGCUUUGCAAGACGACAGAGUCUUAUGAAUUGUAGGGUAACAGAAUGUCAUGAACUUUGUUUACAGGAACACAGUUGUCUAGGAGCAUGUGGUUCUCUGGGACUUGUGUGCCUGUAUGGCAGUGUGACACUGCCUGUCUUGUCGGAGACAGGGAC